rfam:Schistosoma mattheei strain Denwood, Zambia genome assembly, scaffold: SMTD_contig0003794
AUCCGACUGACGAGUCCAAAAUAGAAAGAAACGCGUGUCCUAGAU